rnacentral:rRNA from 1 species
CCUACGGGUCGCUGCAGUGGGGAAUAUUGGACAAUGGGCGAAAGCCUGAUCCAGCCAUGCCGCGUGUGUGAAGAAGGCCUUCGGGUUGUAAAGCACUUUCAGUGGGGAAGAAAGCCUUGGGGCUAAUACCCUCGAGGAAGGACAUCACCCACAGAAGAAGCACCGGCUAACUCCGUGCCAGCAGCCGCGGUAAUACGGAGGGUGCGAGCGUUAAUCGGAAUUACUGGGCGUAAAGCGCGCGUAGGCGGUCUGAUAAGCCGGUUGUGAAAGCCCCGGGCUCAACCUGGGAACGGCAUCCGGAACUGUCAGGCUAGAGUGCAAGAGAGGAAGGUAGAAUUCCCGGUGUAGCGGUGAAAUGCGUAGAGAUCGGGAGGAAUACCAGUGGAGAAGGCGGCCUUCUGGACUGACACUGACGCUGAGGUGCGAAAGCGUGGGUAGCAAACAGGAUUAGAUACCCCAGUAGUC